rnacentral:lncRNA from 1 species
AACAAGGAUUAGAUGUUUGCGUUAGGCCUUGUAGGAUUAUGGGAGAUUAUGGAAAAGGAUUUCCAAGUGAAGGGAACUGGAACGUAGAGGAAGGCCUGAAUACAGGCAUAUCACGAAGUCAGGAGUUCAAGACCAGCCUGGCCGACAUGGUGAAACCCUGUCUCUACUAAAGAUACAAAAAAUUAGCUGGGCAUGGUGGCGCGUGCCUGUAAUCCCAGCUACUCAGGAUGCUGAGGCAGGAGAAUUGCUUGAACCCAGGAGGUGGGGGUUGCAGUGAGCUGAGAUUGCGCCAUUGCACUCCAGCCUGGGCGACAAGAGCGAAACUCCAAAAAAAAAAAAAAAAAAAAAAAACGAAGACGAAGAAGGCCUGAAUAAAGAGGCCUCUGGCAGAAAGGCAGUUAGUUCUUGUCCUUGGAAUUACUGCCUCCAAAGAUAAAUCCAAUAUGUCAACUCAAAAUCAUUUACCUAAAUUACCUCCUUGAUUAACUGUUGGUUUGCCAGCCUGUCUCUCCCACUAGAUGGUGACAGGAACCCUGUCUCAUUCAUCUUUGUAUUCCUCACUUCUAGUACAGAGAAAUGAAGUUACCAAAAAUUGGUGUGGAGCCAGGCUUAAAAAUCAAUCCUUUUUUGAGUAUUUCAUUGUUCCUAUCUUUUUGGCAUUUUAAGGAAGUUUAAAAAUAUUUUUAAGGCCAGGCGCGGUGGCUCACGUCUGUAAUCCCAGUACUUUGAAUCACUUGAGGACAGGAGUUUGAGACCAGCCUGGGCAACAUAAGGAGACUCCGUAUCUGCAAAAAAUAAAAUGAGCCAGGUGUGGUGGUGUGCCUGUAGUCCCAGGCACUCAGGGGGCUGCUGAGGUGAGAGGAUCUCUCGAGCCUGGGGACUUCAGGCUGCAAUGAGCCAUGAUUGCAUCCCUGUACUCCAGCCUGGGCAACAGAGUGAGACUCUGUCUCAAGGAAAAAAAAAAAAUUUUUUUUUUUUUUUUUUACCAAAAACACCUUAGGCUCCGUAUUUCAAAUUAGCUCGUAACAGAUUCACAACAUUUGAUGAAUGA